GUAAACGAUGAUCACUCGCUGUUGGUGACAGACAGUCAGCGGCUAAGCGAAAGCAUUAAGUGAUCCACCUCGGGAGUACGGCCGCAAGGCUGAAACUCAAAGGAAUUGACGGGGGCCCGCACAAGCGGAGGAACAUGUGGUUUAAUUCGAAGCAACGCGAAGAACCUUACCAGGGCUUGACAUCCCCCGCGAGGGAUGGAAACAUCCUGUUCCCUUCGGGGACGGGGAGACAGGUGGUGCAUGGUUGUCGUCAGCUCGUGUCGUGAGAUGUUGGGUUAAGUCCCGCAACGAGCGCAACCCUUACCAUUAGUUGCCAACACGUUAUGGUGGGAACUCUAAUGGGACUGCCGGGGAUAACUCGGAGGAAGGUGGGGACGACGUCAAAUCAUCAUGCCCCUUAUGUCCUGGGCUACACACGUGCUACAAUGGCCGUCAACAGAGGGAAGCGAAAGAGCGAUCUGAAGCGGAUCUCAAAAAAGCGGUCUCAGUUCGGAU
rnacentral:rRNA from 1 species